AUUGAACGCUGGCGGCAUGCCUUACACAUGCAAGUCGAACGGCAGCGGACCUCGGUGCCGGCGAGUGGCGAACGGGUAGAGUAAUAUAUCGGAACGUACCUUUCAGUGGGGGAUAACGUAGCGAAAGUUACGCGUAAUACCGCAUAUUCUGUGAGCAGGAAAGCAGGGGAUCGCAAGACCUUGCGCUGAUUGAGCGGCCGAUAUCAGAUUAGCUAGUUGGUGAGGUAAAGGCUCACCAAGGCGACGAUCUGUAGCGGGUCUGAGAGGAUGAUCCGCCACACUGGAACUGAGACACGGUCCAGACUCCUACGGGAGGCAGCAGUGGGGAAUUUUGG
rnacentral:rRNA from 1 species